rnacentral:rRNA from 1 species
GACGAACCGAGCGAACGUUAUUCGGAAUCACUGGGCUUAAAGGGUGCGUAGGCGGGCACGCGAGUCAGGGGUGAAAUCCCACGGCCCAACCGUGGAAGUGCCUCUGAUACCGCGAGUCUCGAGGGGGAUAGGGGCGUGCGGAACUUCCGGUGGAGCGGUGAAAUGCGUAGAUAUCAAGUGGAACACCAGUGGCGAAGGCGAGUCUCUGGACAUUUCCUGACGCUGAGGCACGAAAGCCAGGGGAGCAAACGGG